UACGGGGGGGGCAAGCGUUGUUCGGAAUUACUGGGCGUAAAGGGCUCGUAGGUGGCCAACUAAGUCAGACGUGAAAUCCCUCGGCUUAACCGGGGAACUGCGUCUGAUACUGGAUGGCUUGAGUGUGGGAGAGGGAUGCGGAAUUCCAGGUGUAGCGGUGAAAUGCGUAGAUAUCGGGAAGAACACCAGUGGCGAAGGCGCUCUACUGGGCCGACAACUGACGCUGAGGGACGAAAGCUAGGGGAGCGAAAGG
rnacentral:rRNA from 1 species